rnacentral:rRNA from 1 species
GAUGAACGCUGGCGGCGUGCUUAAGACAUGCAAGUCGAACGCAGCUUGGCCGCAAGGCUGAGCUGAGUGGCGAAUGGGUGCGUAACACGUAGGUGACCUGCCCGGAAGUGGGGAAUAACAGUCCGAAAGGACUGCUAAUACCGCAUGCGGUGCGCGGGUUUUGAAGCCGCGUUCCAAAGGUACGAGCAAUCGUGCCGCUUUCGGAGGGGCCUGCGGCCCAUCAGCUCGUUGGUAGGGUAACGGCCUACCAAGGCAACGACGGGUAGGGGA